rnacentral:rRNA from 1 species
GAUGAACGCUAGCGGCAGGCCUAAUUCAUGCAAGUCGGACGGGAUUCAGGAGCUUGCUUCUGAUGAGAGUGGCGCACGGGUGCGUAACACGUAUGUAACCUACCUUUAUCAGGGGGAUAGCCUCUCGAAAGAGAGAUUAAGCCCGCAUAAAAUCACAGCACAGCAUUGUGUAAUGAUCAAAUAUUUAUAGGAUAAAGAUGGGCAUGCGGAACAUUAGCUAGAUGGCGGGGUAACGGCCCACCAUGGCGACGAUGUUUAGGGGAUCUGAGAGGAUGGCCCCCCACACUGGUACUGAGACACGGACCAGACUCCUACGGGAGGCAGCAGUAAGGAAUAUUGGUCAAUGGGCGGAAGCCUGAACCAGCCAUGCCGCGUGCAGGAAGACGGCCCUACGGGUUGUAAACUGCUUUUAUACGGGAAUAAACCCAGAUACGUGUAUCUGGCUGAAUGUACUGUAAGAAUAAGGAUCGGCUAACUCCGUG